rnacentral:lncRNA from 1 species
CCGCACCCAGGAUCCGAACCCUGGGCCACCGCAGCGGAGCGCAAGAACUUAACUGCCCAGCCAUGGAGACUGCCCCUAUUUUAUUUAUUUAUUUUUUGUCAUUUGAAAUAUAAAUAUACUUGUCUCAAAUUCUUUGUGCAGUGUUGCAGCCAUGCUCCCUUGCACGUUUUUUUGCGGAGGAAGAUUAGCCCUGAACUAACAUCUGUGUGCAUCUUGCUGUACUUUAUAUGUGCGACACCUGCCACAGCAUAGGUCCACACCCAGGAUCCGAACCAGUGAACCCUGUGCCACCAAAGCAGAACGCGUGAACUUAACCACUAUGCCAUUAGGCUGGUCCACCUUGCACUUUCUUUUAUUUCAGAUGAUUUUGUACUUUCUUUGUAACUCACUCUAAAUAAUGCGUGUUGUUUUGCAUUUUUUAUAUCAGGAAGCGAAAUAUUAAAAAAUUUAUCAAAGUUGUAGGAAAAAGGGCACUCCCAUAAUAGAAAAAAAAAUGUAGCUUUAUGUCAUCAUUUUUUUAGAGAUUCUCUAGAGGUGAGCAGGGUUCCUUUAAAAAUAUGAAAUGAUAUAUUAUUUGAAAGUUGCUUGAACUACCACUGAUUGAGAUGGUAAAUUGGCACAACAGUUGUGCAAUAGCCAUUUAAAAAACAGAAAAACCUUCAACUGUGUAUAACCAUUCAAACAGAGAUAUUCACUUUUAGAAAUUUAUGCUACAGAAAUACAGAUAUGUUCACAAUUAAGCAUGAGACUGUUCAUUGUGGCAUGAGAUAUAUUAGGGGAAAAUUGGAAACAUCCUAAUGUCUAAACAUAGAUGCUAGUUUAAUAAAUUAUAAUACAUCCAAUCUAUAAAAUUCCAUUUACCAUCACAUAGAAAUCAUAUAGAAAAUAUUUAAUGAUGUGAGAAAUACAAAACAUUAAGUGGAAAAAGUAAGCUAGAAAACAGUUUGUCUAAAAUGAUCACAUACAUAAUAUAUAUACAUAUGGUCUGUCAUACAAUAAAAUGUUAACAGGUCAAUUAUGUCUCAAUAAAACUGGAAAAAUGUUA